AGUGUUUCCUGUGGAAGAAUAGCCCUACAGAACCAAACACUAACGUGACUGGGACUCAGGAGGUCUCGGGUUUUGUGAAUAAGCUUCGGGAUCUUAACGUGGACACCAGCCCGUAAUCCUGUGCCAAGGUUCGAAGGGCAGGUCAGAAUGUAUCCGAGGCGCUCAUUCCACAUGAACUCCCAGCCUCGUUCUUGGAUCAAGCGUUCUACCUACAACAGUGAACAAAUGAUGGAGUUCUCCAAUGUCCAUUCAUUCAGCACACCCCAAACGUCAGGGAGAAGUGUGUGUAUGUGAGUGCCAUCAUCCCUAGGAUACAUGAGCCCCAUCUUGGAAGGCACUGCAUUGUCUUCUUUUAAGAAUGGAAAAUAAAGGUAUUUUAUUUUAGUGAA